rnacentral:rRNA from 1 species
AGGGACCUACCUGAUAGCUGGGGUCAACUUGGUGACGACCAGGCCUCAUACUGCAUACGCCGUACGGGGGAAAGCAGCGGAUCUUCGGACGUGCACUAUCAGAUGGGCCUGCGUCGGAUGAGCUAGUUGGUGAGGUAAUGGCUCACCAAGGCGACGAUCCGUAGCUGGUUUGAGAGAAUGAUCAGCUACACUGGGAGUGAGACACGCCCCAGACUCCUACGGGAGGCAGCAGUGGGGAAUAUUGGACAAUGGGGGCAACCCUGAUCCAGCAAUACCGCGUGUGUGAAGAAGGCCCGAGGGUUGUAAAGCACUUUCAAUUGUGAAGAAAAGCUUAAGGUUAAUAACCUUGAGUCUUGACGUUAACUUUAGAAGAAGCACCGGCUAACUCCGUGCCAGCAGCCGCGGUAAUACGGAGGGUGCAAGCGUUAAUCGGAAUUACUGGGCGUAAAGCGCGCGUAGGCGGUUUAGUCAGUCAGAUGUGAAAGCCCCGGGCUCAACCUGGGAACUGCAUUUGAUACUGCUAAGCUAGAGUAUGAUAGAGGCAAGUGGAAUUCCGGGUGUAGCGGUGAAAUGCGUAGAUAUCUGGAGGAACAUCAGUGGCGAAGGCGACUUGCUGGAUCAAUACUGACGCUGAGGUGCGAAAGCGUGGGUAGCAAACAGGAUUAGAUACCCUGGUAGUCCACGCUGUAAACGAUGUCAACUAGCCGUUGGGACCAUUUAAGGUUUUAGUGGCGCAGCUAAC